UUUCCGUAGGUGAACCUGCGGAAGGAUCAUUAAAGUUAUAGUCCCCCGGCCCCUCCGGGCUGGGUUCUUCUAUACCACCCUUUGUUUAUUACACCUUUGUUGCUUUGGCAGGCCUGCCCUCGGGCUGCUGGCUCCGGCCGGCUGGUGCCUGCCAGAGGACAUAAACUCUGUUUGUAUAUGAAGUCUGAGUACUAUAUAAUAGUUAAAACUUUCAACAACGGAUCUCUUGGUUCUG
rnacentral:misc_RNA from 1 species